rnacentral:lncRNA from 1 species
CGAAGAUCAAGGUGCCAGCAGAUUUCUGCAUCUGGUGAGGGUCCACUUCCUGGUUCACAGAUGGCCAUCCUCUCACUGUGUCCUCACAUGGAGAAAAUAACAAGGGAGCACUCUGGGGCCCCGUUUAUAAGGGCACUAAUUCCUUUCAUGAGGGCUCUGCCCUCAAGACCUAAUCACCUCCCAAAGACCCUACCUUCUAAUACCUUGGGGCUUAGGAUUCCAACAUAUGAAUUUUGAGGUAACAUAAACAUUCCACCUAUAGCAAGUAGCAUCUUAGUGCUUGUACUUAAAUCUCUAAACGUGGCAUAAUCCAAGGCCACUUGGGUGCCAGGAGAAGCAGAUGAAUUUGGAUCAAUCAGAUCUAAACAAGGUUGUGCUGGCCCACGUAUGUCUACAGGUAUGAGGGAAGCCUGUGUUUAGGAGCUGCUGUUGAUGGCAUCAGGCACAGCAGAGUAAUUCAGGAGCAGCCAUACUCACAUGCUUUUUUCUGGUUUUGUCACCCAAGGACGGUGAUGGCAAACCUAGCAGCAGGUUAGAUUGCCAGCUGCACCUGCUGCUUGACUCCAGCAGAGCAGAUGAUUGUUUUGUUGGGCUGUGAGUGCUCGAUGGAGCUACCGGUGGAACUGAGUUUCCUCUUUAAGGGAAACGAGGACAAGGACAAGAUCCCGUCUUUUCUGCACUCAGUCGCCCCGCCCCCAACGCAAGUAGGCAUGUUUAUUGGAUGAUAAGAGGGUCAGUCAAAGUAAGGACCAACCCUCUACUGCCAAAAGACACAUACUACUCAAGGGCCCCUGACUCAGACGUUCUCACUGGUCGGAAAUGCCAUCAAUCAAGUUUCAAUCCCCGCCCCCUUCUCGCGGAAGAACUAUGGGUGCUAACCUCUCUCUCAGGCCUGCUGUCAAUCGGCUCCGCAUCCUCUAGUUCUGCACAUCCCCGGCCAUCAGAGCACGAACUUCUGGUCGGUCCGCCUGCCGUUCUUUCACCUAUAGAGCCCACCCUCUAAAGGUGUCCAAGCUGCUCCAAAGAACAAUUGAUUAACCCAACGGCUGUCUUUGGCCCUCAGAACUGUCACACCUGGCUCCGCCUCUUCCCGGACAUCAUCUGUUGCACCAGAGACUGGCGGGUCUGGAAAGAAGCUCUGAGCCCAUCCGCGUUUCUCUGUUGGACCCUGUCAGGUCUCUUGUUCCGUGUCCAAUGUCAGUCGGGUAGGGAGGCAGUGGGGCAGUCUUGGUUCUCAUCCCACCCCGGAGUCUCUGCGCAGCCACAAUUCAGGAAAACAAUCUGGAGGCGGGUUCAAAACACUAAGAUUGAUUGAACGCGCUGAUGGUUUGGUUUUCUCCUAUAGCGCUUUGGUAGUGGCUUUUAUCCAGACCGCCCCCCCCCCACCCCCCCGGAAUGAACCCUGGUAUAGAAAUGUUACCCGUAUGUGUGCAUAUGAUUGUUUUUAAUAUAUUUCAAUUUGAUGAAUCAGCCUUUUUCAAGGUCAGAUUCCAGACCGACCCUUCUGGCGCCCACCCCCCGCUUUUUUUUUUUUUUUUUUUUUUCCAAAAUGAAAGCUUUCCCAAAGAGGCCACGUUUGUAGGGCUAGUGGAAUUUUUUGGAAAAGGGAGAAAGCGGAUUCUGGAUGAGGACAAUGGUGGCCCAGAAGUCGCUAUGACUUAAGAGUCUUGGCAGAGGCAGAGGCUGGGGAAAGCGAGCAGUGUUUUUCAUUUAGGUGGCAUCUGUACGAAUCCUAGUUUGGAAAGGUGCGAAGGUUAUGUGCCUUUGUUUUUAAUAUUUUGGAUUUUUAAUUUUCUGUUUCUUUUUUUCACUUAGUUUUUAUCUUCGAAGUUUAAUUUUGCUGUUUUUUUAUUUCAUAUUCUUAAAAAUUGUAUAAUUAAAUUUUAUUGCUACUGGCUUUUAAUUAAUUCAUUAAUUAAUUUUGAGACGGAGUCUCGCUCUGUUGCCCAGGCUGGAGUGCAGUGGCGCGAUCUCAGCUCACCACAACCUCCGCCUCCCGGGUUCAAGCAAUUCUCCUGCCUCGGCCUCCCGAGUAGCUGGGACUACAGGCACGCGCCACCAUGCCUGGCUGAUUUUUGUAUUUUUAGUAGAGACUGGGUUUCACUAUGUUGGCCAGGCUUGUCUCGGACUCCUUACCUCAUGAUCCACCCGCCUCGGCCUCCCAAAGUGCUGGGAUUACAGGCGUGAGCCACCGCGCCUGGCCUUACUUAUUUUUAAAGCAAAUUCUUCUAGAUCCUGAGUUUCUGGCUUUUUAAAUUAAAAUUACAAGAAAAUGUAUUGAUUCCUCUGGUGUUAACAGGUCUGGAGACAUACAUUUAUGAUGCUUUGGAGCUAUUGAUAAUAUAUAGAGUACUUUAUUCAUUAAUUAUUUCAUUCUAAAAACCCUGCUUUAUAUAUCCCCAGAAUACUAAGGCCUGGUGGGGAAUAUCUUAUAAAUAAUUAAUGGUUAUUACUAAUUAUUAAUAAUAACCGUCAAUGAAAGUAAGAUAGAAACUGUUAAGAGAUUCAGUUAAGUACUGUGUAAUUUUGUGUUGAUUAUAUCUGCCAGUAAUAUUCAUCAUGCAUUGCAUAGAAGUGGGAUUGUCUUUCUUUUUCUCCUAGCUGGUUUGUGAGAAAAUUGUGAGCAAUUUUGCACAGGGAGACUUCGAUGUCUGACUAACAUUUAUUGACUGCUUGUAUGUACUAGGAAUAAUUCUAAAUGCUGAUCAUGUGUUAUUUUUUUCUCUUUUUUUCUUUUUAUUUGUCAUUCUAAAUGCCCUUCAUGUAUUGUCUCAUUUAAUCCUCACAAAUAGGCACAUUUAUUCUCGUCAUACUACAGAUGGGGAAACAUCCGUAAGUGGCAGAGAUGGGAUUUGAACCCAAGCCGUCUUAAGGACUGCACUGGAACGGUGUUUUUUGUUUUCUAAAAUGGGGGUAAUAAUACAUGUAAAGUGAUUAGAACAUAUAGUUAGCUCUGAAUACAUGGCAGAACUUACUGCAGUUAUGGCCUUGUUUAAGGCUCCCAGCCACCCUGUGAGUUAGGGAUCAACAUGAUCCCCCUUUUCUACAAGAAGAAACAGGUUCUGAGAGAAUAAAUGACUUGCCCAAGGCCACUCGGUACAUGGCCUAGCUGGGCUCAUGCUGUGGUCAUUUUCCUGCUAUAAACCCUUCCCAAGUUCCACACCCUACUCUGGAUGAACUCUUGGUGCAUUAAGGCUUUUGAUUCAUAAAAUUUAAAUAUAUUUCUAAGCUGGGUACGGUGGCAUGCACCUAUAGUCCCAGCUUCUCGGGGGGCUUAGGUGGGAGGAUUGCUUGAGCCCAGGAAUUCAAGUCCAGCCUGGGCAAUAUAGCAAGAACCCAUCUCUAAAAAUAAACAAAUAAGUUUCUGAACACACACAUGUCAAACCCCUGUGUGAUCUGGCCCCAACCCACCAGUCCUGCCUUAUCUUAAUGGAUUUAGGGGUUUUUAAAAUUUAUUUUUAUUUUAUUAGUAUUAUUUCAGUAGUUUUGGGGGAACAGGUGGUGUUUGGUCACAUGAAAAAGUCCUUUAGUGGUGAUUUCUGAGAUUUUGGUGCACCCAUCAUCCGAUGUGGAGUUUUUUACCCCUCACCCCCUUCCCACCCCCUCCCCCCAGUCCCCAGAGCCCAUUGUAUCAUUCUUAUGCCUUUGGGUCCUCAUAGUUUAGCUCCCACUUGUAAGAGAGAACAGGGCGGACGCGA